rnacentral:tRNA from 1 species
AGCCCUGUAGUGUAGUGGCCAAGCACGCUAGGUUCUGGGCCUGGAAACCCUGGUUCAAAUCCGGGCAGGGCUA